GACGUAGGGCGCGAGCGUUGUCCGGAAUUAUUGGGCGUAAAGAGCUCGUAGGCGGUUUGUCGCGUCUGCCGUGAAAGUCCGGGGCUCAACUCCGGAUCUGCGGUGGGUACGGGCAGACUAGAGUGAUGUAGGGGAGACUGGAAUUCCUGGUGUAGCGGUGAAAUGCGCAGAUAUCGGGAGGAACACCUAUGGCGAAGGCAGCUCGCUGGGACGGUACUGACGCUGAGACGCGAAAGCGUGGGGAGCAAACAGG
rnacentral:rRNA from 1 species